AUGGGGACAGUGGCUUCAAACUUUCUCCGGCACAAGGUGCCCCGUCCCCAGAGGUUUCUGGAUCGGGCUUCCAUGGCAGCAGGCGUGACCUGGCCAAGAGCUGAGCCAGGCCUCCUGCCUGUAAGGGCCGCUGGCCGGGAGCAGAGCAGGAAGGCUGGACCCCAGCCCUGCUGGACACCUGCCUGGCAGAGGACACUCGAAGACAAGCCAGGCCAAUCCAGAGCUGAGUCCAGAGCUCCCAAGAGGCCCCCGACGGCGGAGCACCACGUCGGCCACGUGGACACCACAUGGCACCCCACGGCCGCCACCAGAGAAGCCCCCCUUCCCCGGGGCCUCGCCUCCCUCGGACACCAUCCCCACCUGUCAUCCCUCCUGAGUGGUAUGUGGACUGUCCAGGGGGUGAGUCAGGUAGAGUCAGGGGCUCCGAGGGGCAGUGGCCAGAGAUGCUCUGGGGAAGGGCGAGGGCGAUGCCCUGCGGGGAGGGGACUCCGGACACACCCUCGGUCGCACGGCCCACCCUACUGGGCUCGGCUGAGGAAGGCGGAGGGUCCGGCAUCGAGGCGACAGCUAACUGCUCGAGAGCCCAGAAGGCAGUGGUGGAGGGCAGCCCUCUGAUGGCCGGGGCCGGGCAGCACCCUGGACGUCCAGGCAGACAGGGAAACUGCUCAACCCAGUAACACGGACACGUGGCCUUUCCUGCCUGCCCUUCCCUUCUCUGGGGACGUGGGGCCAGGAGCACUCCCGGGGCGCAGGGCUCGCCUCACCCGGGGCCCAGCCCUGCCAGGGGAUGGGGGCCCUGAUUCUGACCCCCAGCUCAGCCGGAGGCCAGUCCUGAGGAGUGAGGCCAAGUGAGCCCGAGGGCGGGCGGAGAGUGUGGCGCUGUGGCCGCGCCCUGUCCAGGUGGGCGUGCGGUCUGCAGCUCGGGGCCCCAGGACCUCAGAUGGCUCCCGGACCAGAUGCACAGCAGCAAGGGGCUGGGGGGGGCUUCCUGUCCCUGACCUGUCCCCUAACCUGGCCUCCGUCUCAGAGCCUAGGUGGUACUCCGUGACCUCGGGCCUUGGGGGUGCGCAUGAAAGACAGGCAGGGAGGCAGUGCUCUUCCUUCUGGGCCCCGCUGUCCCCCUGCCCAGCCCCACCUGGGUGGGACCCCGGCCCACAGGGGAAUGGGCUUCUGGAUCACACCACAGCCCACCCCACACCCCCUUCCGGAAGCACCUGUGUCGGCGGGUCUGGAGCAUGGGGUGGGGUGCCUGGGGACGUCCCCGGGGAGUUGGGUGCACAGGGGGGCCACCGCUUCUCCCUCAGGGCAGCAGAUUGGGGUCCGCGGUUCCGACGCCACUUGCCCCCCUCCUUGAUUAAAGACGUGAGGCGCCUCUGUAUCCCCCCCAGGGAAGGGGGGGCAGGCCAGGAAGGACCCAGCCAGCCCCGCUAGCCCUCGUCUGACGAGCAGAGCUGCCACCUUCCAAGAAGGGGCCACAGCUCAGCACGCCCCAGAGCGAGAGGGACAGGGCACCAGGCCGGGACCUGCCCAUCUGUGCCCCAUGUCCACUUGAGGUCAGGGGAGACUGGGGGCCCCCAUGAGGGCCCGGGGGAGGGGCAGUCCCCGAGAGGGGGGGCUCCCGGCAGGGGAUCCCUGGUCUGGGGGAGGGGCGCCAAAGGACGAACGGGUACACAGAGAAAUAGAUAAAUAUGCCAAGCUUUUUCUUUUUUCUUUUUAAAUCAGGCAUUUAUAAACAAGAAAGCAUACAUUAAUUACAUAAAAAUAGUUUUCCAAUAGUAGAGUAAGUCAUAUCGUCAUUAGCAGCAGCAAAGGAGAGAAGGGGUCGGCGAUGCAGACGCUCCUGGCGGGGCGAGGGGAGAGCCGUGGUUUUUUCCUUAAUGGAACAAAAAGGGUUCUUUGUUGACUCCUGACUUAAAGCAAGAACAAGCCGCCUCCCGAGCCGGGCGGGCGGGCGGGCUGUUCUUCCUCAGCUAAAAACAACCCCGAAAACGAGACGAGCUACCCGGUGAGAAGCGAGUCCUGGAGAAGGAACCACCACAUACACGCAGGACGCAGGGUGGAAAGGGGGCGUAUUUACACGGUCGGUUUUUACAUCGCUAGUUCCGCACGGAAAGCAGAAGACGUGUGAGUGAGUUAGCUGCUCCGGAGACGUGAAUGUUAUUGCUGUUGUUGGUUUUUCCCUUCGUUAAACAUCUUCUUUCGGCGGAGAAAUAAUGAGUGAUUAAACUGAAUACACAAUCAUUUCGAUGAUGGGCCUCACACACAGGGAGCGGCGACCACCUACGAGAGGUCUCCUCCCUUCGCAGAGAAACUCGGGUGCAGCUGCAGCGCGGGGCCCCAGGGCCCUGCCGCCCGCCAGCCCCACGCCCUGGCCUCGCCCGGGGGCCCUCGGGGUGGCCCGGGUGGGCCAAGGCCUUCCCGGGGCCCGAGACCCUGCUGCGCCUCCAGCCCUUCCCGAUGGCUGGGGACAAAGCUGGACGGUGGCGGCAUGGACUCGACGGCCGAGACGGACCGGACGGGUGACCGGAGGGGACGGUGCCCCCACACCCCCCGGAGAACUGCCUCUCCCUCGGAGCCUGGGAACUCGAAAGUCAACGGAGCAAACCAGGCGGCCGCGGGCCAGAGGUCCCAGGUGCCCAGGAGCUCACUAGAUUUUCAGACUUGGCAACAGCACAGCCGCACAGACACACUGACACACUCAAAGCUUUGCUCCGGCUCAAUCAUUUCGUUUUCCUUGAAGAAAUGACUGAAAAACACACCUCUGGAAAGACAAGGCUAAACACAGCGUUCUGAGUGUUGCGUGACUCAACUGACCCUCUACGCGACACGGUGAUUAAUGCCCAUGGGUGGAUGUACGAUUGGCAGAGGUUUUAAAUUCCAUGCAUACAGAUUUAAUAACUGCAAAGAAAAACAAAAGCAAAAAAUAAAAAUAAAAAACAACAAACGCUGCA
rnacentral:lncRNA from 1 species